rnacentral:lncRNA from 1 species
CGGAACUUUAUCUCUUCCAGGCUGAUAUUUUCCAAAAACAGCAAGCAUGCCCCAUUUUCAAGGAAGAGCUUAUAAAAGCUCUUCUCUCACUAAUGACUUUCUCAGAUGGGCAAUGCUGUAUUCUGUGGGCAUGAAAGGCAAAGAAAACUAAACAGUGAGUGGGACCUAUAUCUGGUUCCUUAUAUUUUCGAAUGUUUUGAUUUCCACCAUCUCAGCCAUUGGGGAAAUCCUAUCCUCGGAUUAGGAACCAUGCUCAUGGAGAAUUUAGAGGAGGAAAAUCUUUACAUUGAAGGAGAGGGAUUCUCAGUAGAUUGCCACACUGGUCUCAAACUCUUUGCUUUAAGUUGUCUUCCUGCCUCAGCCUCCCUAGUCACUGGGAUUACAGGUCUUCAGGUUACAAACAAUAACAAACACCACCAAAGGACAGGCUUCAGAAAAAUGGAAAAUUGAUCUAACAAGGAAGAAGUAUUAUGAAGCAAUGUUAAAAAGAAAUUGGUAAUAAUUGCCAACAGAGAAAACCCUUCAAAGAGAGUUGCUGCUUUUCCUAAGGGUUUCCAAGGAUCCAAAAACCUUCGGAAGUUCCAAGGAUCAAGUCCCAGGAUCUAAGCUGGACCUUUCCUGGAACAAAUUCCUUCAGACAAAUUCUCCACCAGACCAUCAACUCAGGAGGGCAAACAAGGAACUUGUUUUCAAGAGCUGGAGCCAAACCACCCAGAGUUUCCUGUGCCAGGUGAGCAUGAAGAGGGGCCGAAGUCACCCAUUACUAACCCCUCACCCAUGACUGCCUGAAAGGUAUGUCUCAGGCUUUAACCAUGAAACCUGUUUCCUCUCUCCCCUCCAAAGUCCAGCCCAGAGAGGCAUGAUAAAAUCACUUAGCAAAUGGAAAAUAUUUUGUGCUUAUUCUAAGAAAUGUGAUCCAUCAAAAAUGAGCUGACAAGUCAUUUCAUUUCCAAGGACAGUGUCCACAUACUCCAGGCAGCCUCUGGACCUGGAAUAAGACACAUCUAAGCCACAGGCCAGUAAGGACCAUACAGCUAUAACGUUAUGAGUGAUUCUGUAGCAUGGUUUUAAGGCACCAGCUGCACAGUCAGACUGCCUGGUUUCAGCCCAGCUCCCUCAUUUGCUAGCUGUGAAAACUGGGUGAAUUGCUUAAGCAACCCUUAAUGACAUUUUGUUGUUUUAAAAACGGCAAUAAUAAUAAUACUCCCUUCUUCAUAUGAUUGUUUUGAGAUUUGGAUAAGGCAAUAGGUGCUUUAUUCGAUAAGGACCCUAGAACAUACAAAUCUAUUUUAAAAAUGCUAUUAAUAUGGUUUUGCCCUAAAAAGGCAGGUUCUUCUGUUUCUCAAAUCUGACAAAGUUUUGUCAGACUCUUGAAUUCUCAUUAAUAGUUCCAACACAGACUAUUAAUGCUGUUAGUUUUGACCAAAUACAUGACUCAUGAAUUAACUAACUCUUACUUGGUAAUCUGAAGGAAUCAAUAAAAUCCACACUUAAUUCCCCCUAAAUCAACUGAACAACUAUGGACUAUGGAAUUGGGGAGAUCUGUCUAAAUGGCAGCAAUAUCAACUACGAAAAAUAUUUAUUUAGAGUCUGGGUAGGUACCAAGUUCAAUGAACUGCUUAGAGAGUCUGUGUUGCUUUGGUGACUGUUCUAGGCAGUGCUAAUUUUGCUACAAUUUCCUUUCUUAAGUAAGUCACAACCAGAAUAAAAACAAAGUUCUAGAAAUCCCAUAUUUUUACAAACUGGAUUGAUGAAACCAGUUUUUAAAAUAUCAGAGGACCAGACUGAAAAAGAAACCAGGUGUAGCAAAAGGCAACUCUUCUGGAAACUGAAAAUUCAAAGAAACAUGGUAAUCUCACUGUAUUAAUUUUCUUUUCCUCUUGUAACAAAUUACCACAAGCUUAGUGGCUUAAAACAACACAAAUUUAUAUCCUACAGUUUGUGGAGAAGUAUGAAGUGGGUCUUCCAGGGCUAAAAUCAGUGCUGGUAGAGAGGGGGUACAGAGAAUCUGUUCCUAUUCUUUUCAGCUUCUAGAGAAAGCCUGGGUUCCUUGGCUCAAAGUUUCUUCCAGCAGGGGCAUCUCUCUGACCUCUGUUUCCACUGCCUCAGCUCCUACUCUCACUCGAACCCUCCUGCAUCCCUCUUAUAGGAACCCUUGUGAUUACACUGAGCCUUCUCAAUCAAUGCAGGAUAAUCUUCUAUCUAUCUCAAGACCCGUAAUGUAAUCACAUCUGCAAAGUCCCUUUUGCCAUUUGAGGUAACAAAUCCAUAGGCUCCAAGAAUUAAGAUAUGGACAUCUUUUAGGGGACCAUUCUUCUGACUACCAUACUCCCCUAGCUGAAGAAUUAUUGUGUGAAACAGGGAUAAAGGCAGAACUAAUAUAAAUGAGUCAAAGUGGCCAGGAGGUGAAAUUUGGCUCCAAACAGAAGAAUCUCAAUAAUGAUAAGAGGUGAGUGAAAAAGGACAGGAGCUUUUGAGGAGGAUGUGGGCUCUUUAUCACUAGGGCUGAGCCUCUCUUUCUAAACAUUCACUCCCUCUGCCCAUGUUGGGGUUUUGAUUGCAUGGCAUUUGAGGGUCUUUCCAAUUUUAAGCUUCCAGGUCUUUGAAAAUUUGGAAGGUGUGUCAGUCAGUGUAUAGGCUAGGCUAUGCUGGGUAACAACCAAUCCCCCAAAUCUCAGUGAUUUCAAUCAACACAUCCAUUGUUGGACUGCAUUAGCUCUGGUCGUUGUGGUCCUCUAGGGACUAAAGAGACACCACCACUGCAGACAUAGCUAGCCACAGUGCCAGCAGGAUAGAGAGUUCUGGAGGGUCUAGAAAGAGCAACUGAUACCCUGGUCCACAAGGGUCACACAACACUUACACUAACAGCUCCUCAGUCAGAACUAGUCACAAGUCUCUGGCCAACUAAAAGGAAGACCAGGAUAAAGAGCCAAUCUGGAAGGCAAAGAAACAGAAAUAUUGACGAGUGCAAAUAGUGACUGUGACAGGAAACAAUUGACCCUCUCCAUCAAUCAAUUCACAGAUUUUAGUCAUAAAAGGAGUCAUAAAACUCUUUUGACCCCUAAAGAGUUUUUCUAAACAGGGUGACGGUCAAUCGAUUAUCCUAGGCUCACUGAUGCAACAAGAUUGUCUUAAGCAUGUUCUUCUUUCUUGAUUUUAGCUCCAUGGUUAGGGUUUCACUUUCAAAAGAUUAAUAAUAAGGUGAUAAUGAUGAUGAUAAUGAUGAUGAUGAUGGUAAUGCAUGCUUUUUGAAAAUCACAGUGUACUGAGCAUUGUACUCAGCAUUUUCCACAUUUAUUUUUUGAAUCUCAGGCAUAGAGGCAUGAGUGAAUCACACUUCUGAUUUCAUAGCAUACUUCUAUUGUAAGACUCAUACAAAGACUCUCUCAUGGUGUAUUUUAUUCAUGUGUCCCCUCUCCUCAUUUUAUCAACCAUAAUGUCUUUGAUAUGAUACCUUAAUAUUUUGUAUAUUUUUGCAAAUUGUAUAGUGUUGUUGUUAUGUAGGUAUUUUUAAUUCUAUAAAAGUAUAUUCAUGUAUACUGGUUCUGUUUAUUUCUUCCUUACAUUCGGAUCUUACUGCAUUUAUGAGUAUAUGUCUCACGUAGUUAAUGUCUUAUAACAGUAACGUAAUAUUCCAUACUGUGUGUCCAUUAUAGUUCCCUUAGCUUUUCCCCUGCAAUGGAACAUCUAGGUUGUCUAAUGUUCCCUGAUACUUUAAACCAGGGGUCAGCAAACAUUUUUUAUAAAGAGUGACACAGUAAAUAUAUUUGGCUUUGGGGGUUCUGAAGUCUUGGUUUUAAGGAUUUUGCUGCUGUUAUACCAUAAAAGCAGCCAUAGACAGUGCACAAAUACAUGCCUGUGGACAUAUUUGGCCCAUUGGUCAUAUUUGACAAUCCCUAGUUCAAACACCAUGGUGAUGAAUAUCCUCUAUGUGUUCCCUUAUGAAAUUGGGGCUAGAUGUUCUCUCAAAUAUACUGUACAAACAAGAGUGAGAUUGCAGCAUCAUAAGAUAUGCCCAAACAUCAUUAGACUAAGUAUUUCUGGUUGCAUCAGCCUGUUCUCUUAACAACAGUUAAUAAAAAUAAGAGCCCUCAGAAAUAACG